CCAGCUGGCCGGACGGCCGCUGCCGGGCGAAGAGGCUUUGCGGCCCGUACCGCCUGGUGGAGGAAAGUCCGGGCUCCAGGGAUCGACGGUGGCGGCUAACGGCCGCCGGGGGCGACCCCAGGGAAAGUGCAACAGAAAGCAAACCGCCGUGCGAGGGUGACCUCGCAUGGGUAAGGGUGAAAGGGUGCGGUAAGAGCGCACCGCGUCUCCGGCAACGGAGGUGGCACGGCAAACCCCGCCGGGAGCAAGACCGAAUAGGGGCGGCAUGGGCGCUGAGGCAACUCCGGCGACCAGGCGUGAUCCCAGGCCGCCGCCCGGGUUGGUUGCUAGAGGCUGGGAGCGAUCCCAGUCCCAGAUGAAUGGCCGUCGCGGAGGGCAACCUCCAGACAGAACCCGGCUUACAGGCCAGCUGGCAUU
rnacentral:RNase_P_RNA from 1 species